UGCCCUGAGAAAUGUCUCAUUUGAUGAGACAAUGGUUAGAAAUGGUCAUUUGAUGAAAUAGUUUAUAACAUAAGUGAGCAAGGAACUAUUUUCAAAUAUGAAAACUUUUGGGUCAUGUAUUUCAACUCCUUCCUCCAUUUUUCAAAAUUCUCCUCUAGAUGCUUACAAGGGGGUUAGUACCCCUUGUUUAGGCUCUCUCCUGAAACCUCCCUUCCACUCCAACUCCCUAGUUUUCUUUAACUUUCUCCCCCUUAGGAAAGUGAAAGAAUAACAGCUCCAGCUAGAGACGCUUGCUUGAAAUAGCACGGGCACACGGCAGCCUCCUCUGCAGGGCUUUGCCAGCGAGCCCCGCCCCGCCUGCAGAUCCUGGGUAUGCUACUGGGUACGGGAACCGACCCCUGGCCGUGAGGCUUGGCAUCGGGCCCUGGCUGUUCUGAAGAUAAGGACGAUCUCCCUCCCGGAUCCAGGCAGGCACUGCCCGUCUUGCUAUCCUUGGAGUCUGUGCCAAGUACAUCAGGAAAAUCUCUUUUUCAUUGUUUGAUUUUCCACGGGCUUUGAAAACGUUCCCAUUUCAUACAGCCAAGUCCAGAAUUAAAUUGGACUUCACUGAUCUUUGCUGACAAAAAAUUCCCAUUCCACUUCCUGAGGCUCUUUCUCCUGGAUUUGUUUGUUGGCCUCAUAGAUGAUGUUUCUGACGUGCGCCCAGAGCUCCUCACUCAGAGCCCCUUCACACACGAGCUGACCCUGCACAUUGCUUUGUGAUAUAAAUUAUUCAUCUGAUUUCUUCAGCACUAGGCAGGCAUGGCCGAGGAGAGCCUCGCUUUCCCAACGUGGAGUCAUUGACGUUUUUCUGUUUUCCCGCGAGGUGGUUAGGGAAUGAUUAAAAUGGACUUGAACAGUCAAUUUCUGUUGGGAUUGUAGCUCGGCAGUCAGCAAUCUGCUAGGGUGGUCUGAGGGCCAGUCAUUACGGAAACGCUGCCAAAGUUUCUACAGAAAAUAAAAUUUCCUGUAGAAGCAAAUAAAGACUGAACUUUACUCCUUAGGCAAUCUGACAGGAGGAGGUACCUAGAAGAACAUUGGACUGGGAGUCAGAGAUGUGCCCUAGCGUUGGCUUUGGCAUGAACUCACUUGUGAUAUGAUGUGAACUUUGAGUGUCUCAGGUUUCCCAUAUGAAGAAAAAGAGGCUCAGCAGAUGGCCAAGUCCUUUUCAGUGUUAUCUUUAUAAAGCAAGUGUUAAAAAGUUUCUUUAUGGUAUCAGCUUCUAAAUAUUGGGUAGGUGAUAAAAGUUGAUUAGAGAUGCUCCGCAUGACUUAAAAUAGACUUCUGUCUCAAAAUGAAUGCUUUAGAACUAUGUAUUCUUA
rnacentral:lncRNA from 1 species